rnacentral:lncRNA from 1 species
AUGCCUUGUUUACAUCGGUCACCUCCCAGAGGCCAGAGACAGUCAGUGGCGUCCUGGGUACUGCAGGUAGGACAAGAGGAGGUGAGGAAGCCAAGUAAUAAAGCAGAGUCAAGUCAGCUGCUCGGCUGGGAGCUCGCGCCUGGAGGUGGUGCCGAGUCUCCACCAGCUGUCCUGCCCACACUGGCUGCGCAGGACUCGACUGGGCAUGCAAACUACAAAUUGCAGGGGCCGAGCCUUGGCACUCAGGAUUCUACUUGCAGUGUGGCCACAGACAACUCUCCAAAGAGUCAAUUCCCUUGAAUUCUGACUCAAGUGUCUUUGGCCGGAACUGAGAAUGGACAACAGGUAAUAUCUUUUUUUCUGUAGUUUCAUUUGAAUUUUUUUCAUUUGCUUUUUCUGACAUCAGAAUGCUGGAAAGACACAGACAUUCUAGGCUGCUUAGAAAGACAUAGGCAAAUGGGUGUGGGAAGGGAGAAGAAUUAAGAAAGUCAUUUUAAAUUUUCAUUGCAUUUGGAAGGCAGAGAGAGAGAUCUUCCAUCUACUGGUUCAGUCCUCAAAUGCCUGCAACCAUCAGGGCUGGGCCAGGCUAAAGCCAGGAGCCCAGAACUCGUGCACGUUUCCACACAGGUGGUAGAGUCCCAAAUAAUUGAACCUCAUGUGCUACCUCGGAGGGUCUGCAUUAUGCUGUGUCUCUCUCUUCAUGUUUCUCUUCACCUACCCUCCUCAAUUUUCCUGAAAACUCACCAUCUUAAUUCUGUUUUCAUACUCCUUGCAUGAAAUGGCUGCUUGCAUGCUCAGCAUUUACUCAAGUCCCCACUGUAGCUACAUUUCUAUUAAAAUGUCCGUGUGUCUUUUUCUUUAGGGUACAUGCGUUGUAUUUGUAAACAAAGAACAUCCCCUCACAAAGUGCAUGGUUUUGUGCAGACGUGGAACAAGAGGACUGGACCUAGUAAGUUGAAAGAACCCAUCACAGAAACAGUGGAAAGGGAAAAGGAUAUUCAACUGAUUUUCAUGUUUCAAGGUGGAAAACCUAUAGAUAAGAGGUUUUUCCCUAGACAUUAAUAUUCUAGAAUGUUUUAGACAUUAUGGAGAAAGACAAAAUGGCCUGUAUCUGACCUUCUGGAACAAAACCUGUGUCUUGGCAAACUCUCUCGCACACAUACUGAACGGUUGCAGAUCUUGCUGGACAUCAUUCGUCAGAACAAACAUCAGUGGCCCAUUAAAU